rnacentral:rRNA from 2 species
GGUCUGUCAAGUCGGAUGUGAAAUCCCCGGGCUCAACCUGGGAACUGCAUUCGAAACUGGCAGGCUAGAGUCUUGUAGAGGGGGGUAGAAUUCCAGGUGUAGCGGUGAAAUGCGUAGAGAUCUGGAGGAAUACCGGUGGCGAAGGCGGCCCCCUGGACAAAGACUGACGCUCAGGUGCGAAAGCGUGGGGAGCAAACAGGAUUAGAUACCCUGGUAGUCCACGCCGUAAACGAUGUCGAUUUGGAGGUUGUGCCCUUGAGGCGUGGCUUCCGGAGCUAACGCGUUAAAUCGACCGCCUGGGGAGUACGGCCGCAAGGUUAAAACUCAAAUGAAUUGACGGGGGCCCGCACAAGCGGUGGAGCAUGUGGUUUAAUUCGAUGCAACGCGAAGAACCUUACCUG